UCCGUAGGUGAACCUGCGGAGGGAUCAUUACCGAGUUUACAACUCCCAAACCCAAUGUGAACCAUACCAAACUGUUGCCUCGGCGGGGUCACGCCCCGGGUGCGUCGCAGCCCCGGAACCAGGCGCCCGCCGGAGGGACCAACCAAACUCUUUUCUGUAGUCCCCUCGCGGACGUUAUUUCUUACAGCUCUGAGCAAAAAUUCAAAAUGAAUCAAAACUUUCAACAACGGAUCUCUUGGUUCUGGCAUCGAUGAAGAACGCAGCGAAAUGCGAUAAGUAAUGUGAAUUGCAGAAUUCAGUGAAUCAUCGAAUCUUUGAACGCACAUUGCGCCCGCCAGUAUUCUGGCGGGCAUGCCUGUCCGAGCGUCAUUUCAACCCUCGAACCCCUCCGGGGGGUCGGCGUUGGGGACCUCGGGAGCCCCUAAGACGGGAUCCCGGCCCCGAAAUACAGUGGCGGUCUCGCCGCAGCCUCUCCUGCGCAGUAGUUUGCACAACUCGCACCGGGAGCGCGGCGCGUCCACGUCCGUAAAACACCCAACUUCUGAAAUGUUGACCUCGGAUCAGGUAGGAAUACCCGCUGAACUUAAGCAUAUCAAUAAGCGGAGGAA
rnacentral:rRNA from 1 species